rnacentral:rRNA from 1 species
UCCGUAGGUGAACCUGCGGCGGAGUCCGACCUCUCACUUUCUUACCCUGUGCAUUUGUUUGGGAUAGUAACUCUCGCACGAGGGCGAACUCCUAUUCACUUAUAAAACACAAAGUCUAUGAAUGUAUUAAAUUUUAUAACAAAAUAAAACUUUCAACAACGGAUCUCUUGGCUCUCGCAUCGAUGAAGAACGCAGCGAAAUGCGAUAAGUAAUGUGAAUUGCAGAAUUCAGUGAAUCAUCGAAUCUUUGAACGCACCUUGCGCUCCAUGGUAUUCCGUGGAGCAUGCCUGUUUGAGUGUCAUGAAUACUUCAACCCUCCUCUUUCUUAAUGAUUGAAGAGGUGUUUGGUUUCUGAGCGCUGCUGGCCUUUACGGUCUAUCUCGUUCGUAAUGCAUUAGCAUCCGCAAUCCAACUUCGGAUUGACUUGGCGUAAUAGACUAUUCGCUGAGGAAUUCUAGUCUUUGGACUAGAGCCGGGUUGGGUUAAAGGAAGCUUCUAAUCAGAAUGUCUACAUUUUAAGAUUAGAUCUCAAAUCAGGUACGACUAUCCGCGUGAACUUAAGGAUAUCAUUUAGCGGAGGAAACG